rnacentral:rRNA from 1 species
AUUGAACGCUGGCGGCAGGCCUAACACAUGCAAGUCGAACGGACCCUUCGGGGUUAGUGGCGGACGGGUGAGUAACACGUGGGAACGUACCCUUAGGUUCGGAACAACUCAGGGAAACUUGAGCUAAUACAGAAUGUGCCCUUCGGGGGAAAGAUUUAGCGCCUUUGGAGCGGCCCGCGUCUGAUUAGCUAGUUGGUGAGGUAAAGGCUCACCAAGGCUACGAUCAGUAGCUGGUCUGAGAGGAUGAUCAGCCACACUGGGACUGAGACACGGCCCAGACUCCUACGGGAGGCAGCAGUGGGGAAUCUUGCGCAAUGGGCGAAAGCCUGACGCAGCCAUGCCGCGUGAAUGAUGAAGGUCUUAGGAUUGUAAAAUUCUUUCACCGGGGACGAUAAUGACGGUACCCGGAGAAGAAGCCCCGGCUAACUUCGUGCCAGCCGCCGCAGUAA